GAUGAACGCUGGCGGCGUGCUUAACACAUGCAAGUCGAACGAUGAAGCCCAGCUUGCUGGGUGGAUUAGUGGCGAACGGGUGAGUAACACGUGAGUAACCUGCCCUUAACUCUGGGAUAAGCCUGGGAAACUGGGUCUAAUACCGGAUAGGAGCGUCCACCGCAUGGUGGGUGUUGGAAAGAUUUAUCGGUUUUGGAUGGACUCGCGGCCUAUCAGCUUGUUGGUGAGGUAAUGGCUCACCAAGGCGACGACGGGUAGCCGGCCUGAGAGGGUGACCGGCCACACUGGGACUGAGACACGGCCCAGACUCCUACGGGAGGCAGCAGUGGGGAAUAUUGCACAAUGGGCGCAAGACUGAUGCAGCGACGCCGCGUGAGGGAUGACGGCCUUCGGGUUGUAAACCUCUUUCAGUAGGGAAGAAGCGAAAGUGACGGUACCUGCAGAAGAAGCACCGGCUAACUACGU
rnacentral:rRNA from 1 species